UUUCUUUGUCCCCAACUUAUUUUGCAAAAGUUCAACCGGUCAAGUUUUCCAAGAGCAAAGAAAGUGUCUGGAAGAUGGUUACGUUCAAACUUGCUUUGGGAGGAAGUUUUCUCACCAAUGAGCCAAAUGCCUGCCGGUCAGUACCCACUGGCCCAAGGAGAAUAUUAUUUGGUCCUAAAGAGGAAUGAAGUACCUACACGUGUAACCAUGUGAAUGAACCUUGAGAACAUUAAGAGACGGAGGGGACUUUCUUCUGCUCUUGGCCACACUCCUCAGCCUCCAUCGACUUGUCAAAGUGACAACAGAAGUAUUCCUGUCUGCGGCCCCAGCAGCUUGGCCCUCGGUUAGCAGACCUCAACUCUAUCUGUCGGUCUCUCCAGACUCAGAGGGGGACAGUUCGCCCCCCAGUGGCACUUCUCUGCCGGGUUCCAGAAAAGUGGUUGCCUACUGGUGUGCUGUUGGUGCCUGUUGUGAGGGUGGGGGUGGCGGACCUCC